GCGGGGUGCAUCGCCUCUCCUCUUGCCCUCCGCUCCAGCGGAGGGGUGGGGGAUUGCAGGCCCCGGCGCAAAAUCCUGCGGGAAAAGAGGUGGGGCGACGGCUCUGGAGGCAGCGCGCCCGCGGGCAGCGUCGUGUGGCUCCUCCGACUCCCGCGGCUGCGGCGCUCGCCUUGUUCUUCCGCGCGCACCCCAGCCGCCUCCUAGCGGCGCGGCGCCCGCUCCUACGCCUACAAUGACUAAAAAUGACUAAUGUGUGAUUUCGGUGGAAUAAAUGGCGUCCAAAGUCACAGAUGCUAUAGUCUGGUAUCAAAAGAAGGGUACUGUAGAAGCUAAAUUGCUCUUUGCCAGAUGGCCCAUAGAGUUUAUCCAAGUGAAAGCUGUUAAUUCAAUACCGAGGACUGAUUCACAGAGAAGAAAAUGCUGGAGAAAGUUACUGUCCUUUUUGAUGUUCAGAUUAUUCUGUCUUGCAAACGGGAGCUUAUUUGAGUUGGCUUCUGAAUGGGUCACUUUGAUGUGUGACCCUAGUAAUAUUUGACUAUAUUCCUUGAGGAAACAGAUUUGAAAUGGGAGCAAUACAUUCUGCCUAAGGACAGACAAAGCUACAGACAGGUAUUGGUCCCCUUUUAUCAUCCUAGAUAUCUAAGCUAAAUUAAUUUCUGUGCUCUUUGUAGCAGUAAUUGCAUGGAAAUCUCUUGUAAAAAUCAGUUAUCCUUUUACUUCUAUGUUACGGUGAUAUCUAUGUUUAUUCUAGCACUUGCCAAAGCCUGACUUGCAGUAUAAUUAAUUUCCUCUGCGAAUCUGUGGGAGCCCUGGUGGCACAGCAGUUAAGAGCUUGGCUGCUAACCAAAAGGUUGUUAGUUCGAACCCACCAGCUGCUCCUUGGAAACCCUAAGGGGCACUUCUACUCUGUCAUAUAGGGUCGCUAUGAGUUGGAAUCAACUUGACAGCAAUGGGUUUGGUUUUUGUUUGUUUGUUUGUUUUGGCUAAUCUGUGAGGGUAGGAAUUAUCUUUGUAUCUCCAUUAUUUAUUUCAGUGUCUUACCUCAUAGUUUGUCCUUGGUAAAUGUUUGUUGCUUUGAGAACAGUGAUGUCAGGAGAUAGUACUUACAUUACAUUUUUAGUUUAUGUAGUUCUUUGUUCUUAAACUGAGUACCUAUGGUGUGCCGUGCACAAAUCCAGACAUUUUUUAAAGAAAUUUAGUUUAAUGAGUAGUUAAACCUGUGAAGUAGUGUCUGUAUGCUGAAUAUCUGUUACACUAAGAUUUAAACAGAAUACUUUGGUCUAUAGUAACAUUUUCUAAAAUGUGUUCUUCAUGAUGUUAGUGUUAGUAGAAUAAUUGGCUUUUGUGGUCAGAUAACUUUGGGAAAUAUUGAAUGAGAGAAAGGUAAACAAAUCUGAUAGUUGCAAGAUUUUGCAAUGUGAAUAAUAUGGAGUGUGACUGAUGGAGAUGACAGCAUUUCUCAUUUUAUUUGACCUAAUUUCCCCCCCUAAGUAUCCGUGGAACAUGCUGGCUUAUGGGUGAAAAGUUACACAAAAGAGUGUGGUGCAGAGGAAAGGACAUGGAAUUGGAAAUCAGAAAAGUGGGUUUGUGCCCCUAAAUACUAGGUGAGGAUUCUUUAAAAGCCUCAGUUGUCCAACCAAUAAAAGAAGCUAAUGCUGGCCUGUACAGCGUAAGAUUGCAAAUGGUUUAUAAAGUACUUGACAAAUAUUAGUAUUUUAGCAAAAUCCCUAGAUAAAUUGUUUAUUAUAAAUUUAACAAAUAUACUGUCAGUAAAUGUUUGAUCUCUUCCUCUGCACAGUUCUUCCUGAUUCUACCAAGUGAAGAUUAAAUAUACAUCUUCUCUCACCCUAUCUUUGGUCAUCCUUUAGUAGCAGUUCUGGAACCCCCUGGACCCUUGCAAUUACAGUAAACCUUUCCUUGAUGACAGUAGUUCAGGUUCCUUAGAUUCUAAUUCUGGGAAAUCUCGACUAAGCACCCGGGAACAAUUUAUCUUAACUUUUUUCCUACUUUAAUAUUAGCCUAUAUAGGUAAGGGAGCCCUGAUGGCAUAAUGCUUAAGAGCUCAGCUGCUAACUAAAAGGUCAGCAGUUCAAAUCUACCAGCCGCUCCUUGGAAACCCUGUGAGGCAGUUCUGCUCUGUCCUAUAGGGUCACUAUGAGUCGGAAGUGACUCAGCAGCACCUAACGACAAUAGCACGUAGGUAAAUGAAAGGAAGCCAACAAGUUAAUGUAUUUGAUUUUGAAUAAUUCAGAUUUGCUUCAUGGUCUCAUUGUUUAUCUCAAAUGAUUGCAUGAGUGUCAGUAAUAUUCUGUGUAUUUUUUAAAAUGCAGAGGUGUUUAAAUAGCCAAGAUAUGUUCAUCAUCUUGGCAUUUAAAUUGCUUUAAAAAUAUGAUACAGCUUUUCAUGCUAUUUAUAUUAAACUGUUAGAAAUAUGUAAACAAGGAAGAUGCUGUAGUCUUGACUCGUAUUAAUUAUACAUGGUUUAGUCAGAGUUAUGUUUUGGAAUAAUAAACCAGAGUAUAUCCUGUGAUGAAUACUAAAAGAAUUUAAAUAAUGCAUAUAUAUUUCUUCCUUGUCUCAUGCAGCAGUAUGAAGGAAGAGGAAGCAUUAGGAGUUCACGGAGAUGACACAGUAGCUAACAUUUGUUAAGCUCUUAUGUGUCUAUACUGUAGGUAGCUCAAUAGGUAUUAGCACAUUUAUCCUUAUACUAACCCUUUGAUUAUUGAUAAUAACUAUUUUACAUACUUUUAGGGGUGAGUUUGACUAAUUAAGAAUUUUGUAUAUUCUCAUUUGCUUUCCUAACACCCUGACAGCUUCCUGGUUGACAGCGCAGCCCAUGAGUGUCAAUAGAGGCAGAAGUAGUGAUGAUUAGGGGUUAAAUGCCACCCUUCACAGCCACCUUUAGUGCUGAGAGCCAAGGCAAAAGAACACAGGGUGGCUUUUAUGUAAGGUUGUGAAUAGUAUUAGUGGGUAAGGGCUCCAGCCAUGGAACCUGUCUGUCUGGGUUUAAAUUCCUAUAUUCUGCUACUUACUGUUUAACCUUGUACAACCUCAGUUUUCACAACUGUAAAAUAGGAAUAGCAGUAAUAUCAACUUCAUGGUGUUGUGAGGAUUAAGUGAGUUAAUACAUAUAAAGUGUCUGGCACAUGAUAAAUAAUAGAUGCUAAUUAUUUGUUAUUACUAUUGUUAUUAUUAUUAUUGAACUGCCUCAACUCAAAAAGGAGUAGAACCCAGACUCUAGUAUCUUUCAGUUCCAGGGGUUGGACUUUUCCUCCAAGGUAGGGGGGCCCAAUAGUCAAUGCAGUAGUGGCCAUGAGGUUACUUCAGAGUGCUGCCCUGAUAGAUAACUCUCCUAUUGUCAUCUUGGGUUGCUUAAUUUUUUUUUCAAAUAAAUGUUACCCAAUAUCAACACUUUUUUACUUUCAAGUUACCCAUAAUUUUUAUACAUAUUAUUUCUCAAACAACACUCCUGAUCCAAACAUUGUUAUUACAUCAUUUCCUGAGUGGAAGAAUUGGGGAGAUAGCUCUAAAAAGUGAUAACUUUCUUCAGAAAUCUCUUUGCACUGUAAUAAACAAGAAAAGCUAGAAAGGCCAAAGAAAUUUCAUUGAAGUUAAUAUGUGUAAUUUAUUAACUGUGAUUUAAAUCCAGGAGUUUAGUUCUGUGUCCUCAUCACAUUUAAGUAAUAAAUACCUUUUAAAAUAAUUUCUACUCUAUAAUGGUUGAAAUCAUGUUUAUCAAAAAAUCCAAAUAUUAAUUGUACAGUGUUAAAAUUUAUGAUAUUUGACUUACAAAGCUGUAACAUUUGAGAAUUAAUGUUGUGGGUUUGUUAAAUAGAACUUUAGUAUUUACCCUAAAGUAUCUUUGAGCUUUUGUUUGAUUGCUGCAGUAAGGUACAUUUAUUUUCAUAGGACUAUAAAAAGUAAUAAUUCAUGACCCAAGAUUAGGUUAAAUAGAAAAGCAGAAGUUAAAUUAUUUAUCUUUGCCAAGAUGACUUCUUGGGAAGGUUAUUAAUCAAGCAAUGCCUUGAUUAAUAAAUCCAUUGAGAACUUACUGUCAUGUACCAGCAAGUUGGAAAAUAAACAGCCUUCAUAAAUUAUGCAGAGUGGUAUUGGUUUGCUAAUAGUAAUCUUCUCAUUAAAGUUGGGCCAGGAAAAAAGGCCACUGUGUUCUGCUUCUACUUUUCACUACAUGUGUAAACUAUGCCGACAACAGACAGCCAAGACUUGGGAAGGAAAGGCAAACCAGGUCCAUGUUAGCCCCUGAGCAGCAGAAGUUCUAGAAACUUCUCUCUAGAGUUCUGUUGUUAAUUUUAUUUGCCUAUAUUAGCCAUCAAUCUCUCUGUUUCUUCUGUUCAUCUCCAUUUGGAAUGGAGAGAGAAUGCAAUUGCCUCAGUUUGAGUCAUAUGUCUAGUUUUGUAUCAUUCAGCUAUGGCCAUGAAGGUGUCAGGGUUAGAUUGCAUAGACAUGACCCCAGAAAUUUCCCCGCAGAGUAUAGCAGGCUUUCAGUCCUUAAUGCCUGAUGAUUGAUUUACUGAUUUCACUUAAGUCUGAAUGAGAGAUGGGUGUCAAAUCAACUACCUGCUUGCUUUUUAAUCCUCAAAUGAAAGAUUUACUUAUUAAAGAUGGGGGUUUGGCACUUGGGGGGUUUUGAGGGACCUCUAAAAUCACAUUAUAUCUAAAAAUGCUUACUGGCUGUGAAAGUUAACAUUUUUGAGAACUGAAGGAGAACAGAGGGAAGGAGUCAGAAGAGGCACUCCGUGGCUUCUUAAUCCUCUAAUAUGGCCAACCCUUGCUGGUUACUGUAGAGGCCAAAAGAGCUGAUGAUGGCCGUUUCUCGUGGGUUUCUUCCAGAACUUGGAGUUCUUCCAGUUCUACCAGCAGCUCUUUGCCAAGCUCCCUCCCUUCCUGUGUGAACCAGUUGAAUUCCUUCCUUUACCACCUAACAAAAUUUAAGUUCAUACUUCUGCCACAAGAGUUCCAUAUGAAACAUUGUAUUUUUCUUGGAUAAUUGGAGUAUUUUAGCAUUUUACUUCUUUAAUCUAUUUUUUCUGCUGUACUGGGAUUGAAGCCCUGG